AAACCAACCGGGAUUGCCUUAGUAACGGCGAGUGAAGCGGCAAAAAGCUCAAAUUUGAAAUCUGGUACCUUCGGUGCCCGAGUUGUAAUUUGGAGAGGGCAACUUUGGGGCCGUUCCUUGUCUAUGUUCCUUGGAACAGGACGUCAUAGAGGGUGAGAAUCCCGUGUGGCGAGGAGUGCGGUUCUUUGUAAAGUGCCUUCAAAGAGUCGAGUUGUUUGGGAAUGCAGCUCUAAGUGGGUGGUAAAUUCCAUCUAAAGCUAAAUAUUGGCGAGAGACCGAUAGCGAACAAGUACAGUGAUGGAAAGAUGAAAAGAACUUUGAAAAGAGAGUGAAAAAGUACGUGAAAUUGUUGAAAGGGAAGGGCAUUUGAUCAGACAUGGUGUUUUGUGCCCUCUGCUCCUUGUGGGUAGGGGAAUCUCGCAUUUCACUGGGCCAGCAUCAGUUUGGUGGCAGGAUAAAUCCAUAGGAAUGUAGCUUGCCUCGGUAAGUAUUAUAGCCUGUGGGAAUACUGCC
rnacentral:rRNA from 1 species